UACGUAGGCAGCGAGCGUUGUUCGGAGUUACUGGGCGUAAAGGGUGUGUAGGCGGUUCUUUAAGUUUGGUGUGAAAUCUCCCGGCUCAACUGGGAGGGUGCGCCGAAUACUGAGGGACUAGAGUACGGGAGAGGAAAGUGGAAUUCCUGGUGUAGCGGUGAAAUGCGUAGAUAUCAGGAGGAACACCGGUGGUGUAGACGGCUUUCUGGACCGUAACUGACGCUGAGACACGAAAGCGUGGGUAGCAAACAGG
rnacentral:rRNA from 1 species